GAAGAAAAGAAAAAAAUUGUAUGGAAGAAAAAUCUCUGCGGAAAGGGGGACAAGAAACGCAAUCCAUAUGGCGGGACAGCUCUGGAGACCACCGCCCAUUGCUUUCGUCACAAUCCGCCGCCGCACCUGCCCGGGUUGCCAAAGGGGCCGUGCUGGCCAUCACCGCCCCCGCCCUGCCGUGGGCAGUGGCCCGAGGGCGGGCUGCGAGCCGCGCAAUGUCGCAGACUGCGGCUCCGGGGGUGGGGGCUUCACGGUGCUGCACGAGCCUCACUCGGGCUUAGUCCCAUGAGGCCUGCGCACCCCGGCACUGAAACCACGAGACGGCGCAGGACCACCGCUCUUCCGGCCCGUGACGGAGACCGAGCGUGAGGCGCGCCGGGGCUCAGGGCAUCUGAGGGCCCUCUCCGGGCGUCGGGCUCAGGGCCGCCACCACCACCACUACUACCACCACCACCUCGGCUCCUGCCGGCGCCGUCGCCUCUCCCGCCCACCCCUCGCCAUGUCCGAGGAACUUUCGGCGGCCACGUCCUACACGGAAGAUGAUUUCUACUGCCCUGUCUGUCAGGAGGUGCUCAAGACGCCGGUGCGGACCGCGGCCUGUCAGCACGUUUUCUGUAGAAAAUGUUUCCUGACUGCAAUGAGAGAAAGUGGAAUACAUUGUCCCCUAUGUCGUGGAAGUGUGACUAGAAGAGAAAGAGCAUGUCCGGAACGGGCCUUAGAUCUUGAAAAUAUCAUGAGGAGGUUUUCUGGUAGCUGCAGAUGCUGUUCAAAAAAGAUUAAAUUCUAUCGCAUGAGACAUCAUUACAAAUCUUGUAAGAAGUAUCAGGAUGAAUAUGGUGUUUCUUCUGUCAUUCCAAACUUUAAGAUUUCUCAAGAUUCAGUAAGGAGCAGUAAUAGGAGUGAAACAUCUGCAUCUGAUAACACAGAAACUUAUCAAGAGGAUACAAGUUCUUCUGGGCAUCCUACCUUUAAGUGUCCCUUAUGUCAAGAGUCAAAUUUCACCAGACAACGUUUAUUGGAUCACUGUAAUAGUAACCACCUAUUUCAGAUAGUUCCUGUGACAUGUCCUAUUUGUGUGUCUCUUCCUUGGGGAGAUCCUAGCCAGAUUACUAGAAAUUUCGUUAGUCAUCUAAAUCAAAGACAUCAGUUUGAUUAUGGAGAAUUUGUGGUAAGUGAGUUCUUCAAGAUUAAGAAAGUUAAUUUAACUCUUUCAAUCUGGAUUUGAGUUUUCAAGCAAGUUGUGGAAUCAGACUGCUUGGAUAAAGAGCAAGUUGAUGUAUUUUAGUAGUAACAUUGUUAAGCUUUGUGGAAGUUCUGAGAAUUGAAUUUAUUGUUUAUACUAGAGAGAUAAUUACUGGAAAAAUAAACCCCUUAAUGCAAAAUGAAGGUUUAAGUAAAAAUUAUUUAGAGUUAAGAGAAAUUAUACCUCCUUGAAAGUAAAAUUGGCAUAACCUGUGUGGGAAGAUAUGUUUCAAAUAUAGAGUAAGCACAUGAGGCACAAUUACAAACCAAACCAAAGAAACUGAUCAUCACCAGGUUGUCCAUUUAGGAAGGGCAGCUAGGGCCCUUGGACCAAAUGGGCCAGUUUCUUCUUCUCAUAUUUAUGAAAAAUUUUCUGUUAUUAGUUGUAAAAUUGUACUUUAUUUGGCUUAUGUGUAGUUAAGGUCUUAUUUAAUAAACGGUUAAUUCCAGUAAAGAGUAAUAGAUGCUUGUUUUCCUGUUUGGGUAAACACAGGCAUGCAUAAUUUUUAUUUUUAUGGAAUUUGCAGUUUUAGUCUACUAUUUUGGAAUAAUUUAAAUGUUCGUAAAAUUUACAUGUGCCACUUCAGUGAUUUUAGGAGGUAAUUGUAUUUUACUAUUACGUUUCCAUUUUAGGAGCAAUUAUUGCGUCUGGAGAGCUAUAUUUAGAAGAGCAUAGUAGUUUUUUUCAGCCAUAAUUUAAUCUAGUUUUUUGUUUUACCUUGCUGUAGAAAACUGUAUUUCAGUUGUCAAGUCAAAGUCCUGAUAUCUUUUAAAGCUAACCCAUGUGACAUAAAAUUAACAGCAAAUAAUGUUUUUUAAAGAUAAAGGUUUUGUUGUUGCUGUUGUUUUGCCUGGUGUGUUUGUUUUGCUGCGAAGGAUUGGACUCAGGGACUCAGUACAUUCUAAACAGCCAUUCCACACUGAGAAUCUUCAGCUAGAUGAGGAAACCCAAUAUCAAACUGCUGUGGAAGAGUCUUUUCAAGUAAACAUGUGACAUGUAUAGACAUCUCUGCCUCCUUGCAACCUACAAGUGCCAUCUUUAAGGAGAAGACAUGAAGUCACCAUUUUCAGUAAUUUGCUGUGCAUAUUAAUAAAAAUAAUAAUUCAGUCUACUGUAUUAGGUUUUUAAUUGAAAAUAAAGGUGGGCCACCCUAAUACCAUUCUCUAGACAGUUACUUUAACAGCAUGGAAAGGGUUGUAUUUCACUUGUGUGGUGAAAAGAGAAUCUCUGUUGUCUUUUUCUUCCUUGUAUUACAUAUUCUCAAUGUUUCAUUAAGUUGUUUUUGGUAUUUGAUAUAGUUCCUUCUGUUUAGUACAGAGAUAACAGCAAAUUCUGAACGAUGUGAUUCUUAAAAAGCUAAUAAACCUGAGCCAUUUGUCAGAGCUGUAGAAUGGAAACUUGAAGUGUGAAGUGGGAUAAUCCAAAGGGAUUUUUUUUUAAAGUAUAGAUUCUAGCUGAGGAAUUCAACAAUAAGAAAGUUGUAUUUAUGUAAUGUUUAGUAUUUUUGAAGACUAGUGAGAUUUCUUUAAUAAUUUUUACUUUGAAAGCAUAUUGUACAAAUGUUUCUUCUUUUGCUAUUAGAAGAACAUCAAGAGAAGUUUCCUUUGGUGGUUAGUUUGUUAUUUCAAUCUAGGUUGAAUAAUUUGUAAGCCUAAAUGUUAUAUACCACAGUUCUUUGUAGUCAGUAUUUCUCACUGGGUGAUGAAACUUUUCAGCCAGUGAAUGAUACAUUCAAUUAGUUUUUUAAAAAUCCAAAGUUGCAGAUGUAUGUGGAUAUGUACAUAGACUUUUGCAUGUAUAUAUACACAUAUAUAUCUUUGCCUAGAGUUUGUCAGGUUAUGUAUAGAAUUUCUAUUAAAAAGUUUUAAUAAUGGACAAGCAAUAUAGGAUUGAAGUAUUUAUCUCCUUUGUUUAAAAUUUUGUAUGUUACCAAGUUUUUAAAACAGUAAGCCAAAUACUAUGUGGUACAGUUGGCUGUUAUUACACCUGAAAAAUGUUAAAUGGUGCUCACUUGUUACGUUUGAAAAUGAUGCAUAACUGACGUGUGGUGAGAGAUUUUACCAGCUACUGUUUCACUACAUUUUAGUCAAAACAAAGUUUGUUCUUAAUCUUUGGUAUAAAGUGUUGUAGAGAAGGCCAAGUCACAAAGUAAAGGGUGAAGGGGGAAUUCUGACAUUCCACACUAACAUAACACUGUUAUGCUUUCUUUAAAAUAACUAACCGCAAAAGAAAAUCUCUGAAGUAGUUUGCUGCUAAUAUAUACAUAUAUUGUAAAAAAAAAAGGUAUAUUUUGAUUUUCUUAAUACCCUUGUUGACUUUUCUACAAUGAACAUUUUUAAACUUGAUUUAAUAAAAAUGUUAAUUUUGGAUGUGCAGUUUUGUAAAAAACCUUUUUCAGUUAAACGGUAAUGACUUUAUUUAUGUUCAGUAAUAUAGACUCACAAGAAGCCAUACAUCUUAAUGCCUUUUUUUCUGUUGUUUCUUGAGCGUGAUGUUUACUGUGUUCUCUAGCACUUUGAGUUGACAUACAAGAGUAAUUCUAGGAACAUCUAUAUGAUGAACCCUUUAAAAGGAGACUUCUGUCCACAGUCCUCUAGUUUAAAGCAAUAACUUGGAUACUUUUAAAGUUUUAUUUAGCCAGUGUGCUCCUAAAUCAUCCUGGGAUGUACAAACUUAAAGGGAAACUUGUACUAGAGAGGGUUCCUGUUUUGAAGUCUUGUGGAUGAGUUAUAUUAAUAGAUUAAUAGCUUUUUCAUGAGAAUUAUCUUUUUUUUUGCAUUAGUAACUUCUUAAAUAUAGAAAAAACUUUUUAAUUCUUCUUUUGUCAGUGGAUUAAGAAUAAGGAUUGACUUUAGAAUUUAAUUUAUGGGGGCGCACCUCAGUAGUCAUGUUUAAUAGCUAUCAGGAUAAAGGAGAGAAACUAUAGCAAUAUGCUGAUACAUCAGUUUCACAGUACCAGUUAGAAAAGCCACUUCUCCUUCAACUUAGUUUAGUUUAUGUCCAUAAACACAGUGUUGAUUGAGAUGUAUUGCUUUACUUUUCAAUUAAAAUGGUUUUCUCCUA